AGUGAACGCUGGCGGUAGGCCUAACACAUGCAAGUCGAACGGCAGCACAGUAAGAGCUUGCUCUUACGGGUGGCGAGUGGCGGACGGGUGAGGAAUACAUCGGAAUCUACUUUUUCGUGGGGGAUAACGUAGGGAAACUUACGCUAAUACCGCAUACGACCUACGGGUGAAAGCAGGGGAUCUUCGGACCUUGCGCGAUUGAAUGAGCCGAUGUCGGAUUAGCUAGUUGGCGGGGUAAAGGCCCACCAAGGCGACGAUCCGUAGCUGGUCUGAGAGGAUGAUCAGCCACACUGGAACUGAGACACGGUCCAGACUCCUACGGGAGGCAGCAGUGGGGAAUAUUGGACAAUGGGCGCAAGCCUGAUCCAGCCAUACCGCGUGGGUGAAGAAGGCCUUCGGGUUGUAAAGCCCUUUUGUUGGGAAAGAAAAGCGGCAGGUUAAUACCCCGCUGUUCUGACGGUACCCAAAGAAAAAGCACCGGCUAACUUCGCG
rnacentral:rRNA from 1 species